GUAAAUAAAAUUGAGAAUGGAAAUGGGGAAUAUGCCAAAGAGACAACAACCCGACCAUAGAAAAAAACAACAGCAGAAGGUCACCAACAGGUCUUCAAUGUAGCGAGAAAUUCCCGCACCCGGAGGCGUCCUUUAGCUGGCCCCUAAACAAAUAUAUGCUAGUUCAGUGAUAAUGAACGCCAUACUAAUUUCCAAAUUGUACACAAGAAACUAAAAUUAAAAAUAAUACAAGACUAACAAAGGCCAGAGGCUCCUGACUUGGGACAGGCGCAAAAAUGCGGCGGGGUUAAACAUGUUUGUGAGAUCUCAACCCUCCCCCUAUACCUCUAGCCAAUGUAGAAAAGUAAACGCAUAACAAUACGCACAUUAAAAUUCAGUUCAAGAGAAGUCCGAGUCUGAUGUCAGAAGAUGUAACCAAAGAAAAUAAACAAAAUGACAAUAAUCCAUAAAUAACAACAGACUACUAGCAGUUAACUGACAUGCCAGCUCCAGACUUCAAUUAAACUGACUGAAAGAUUAUGAUUUCAUCAUAUGAACAUCAGGCACAAUCCUUCCCGUUAGGGGUUUAGUAUCAUACCAUCAUAACAUAUAUGAGAAGAUCAUAACCCGUGUCAUG
rnacentral:lncRNA from 1 species